rnacentral:lncRNA from 1 species
AGAAAUAAGGAUCAUUCUAGUACAAACCGUGCAGGGAACUGAGCUACUUCCAAGUUCUGGCCAUGUUGGAACGCGUCCAUCUCUUACUGGAGCUCUGAGUGGCCAAGCACGCCCAAACAUUCUUUUCCUAACAGGUAAAGGCCUAUCAGUUUCACCAAGUUUUCUGAAACUUGAAGGCAACCUACUGUCCUCAGACAAAACUUCUCUGACUUCUGGACUAUGGAAGCAGGGCUCGAGGAUAUCAUAGAUAUUUAGAUUAUCGAGUUCCUGAACAUGUAAUGAUAUGUUCACAUAUCAAGAAGUAGAAAGGAAAAAAAAAAAAAAAGUUGUCACUUGACAACAGAAGAUUAUUUACAUGAAAAGAAAAUCUUACCCAAUCAACUUUGCUUAGCAGGACCAGACAGUUGUUAUUGACUGGAUUCCAGUAGCUUCCAUUACAGGCAGAGUAGACCUCCUAUAAUUGCCAAUGCAGAAUAACAGCAUAAGUUAGGAGUUCCUGAUUUUCUUCAACAUCUUAUAAUGACUAAUUUGUUUCAAUAACAAAUUAUACUGCAAUCACAUCUUCAAAGAAUGUUACAUGACCAUUUUAUUUUGAAAAUCAAUUUACAUGACAUUCAAUCACAAAGAAUACCUGAAACAGAUCAUUUGAUAUUAAACCCAUUCCAUGUGCAAAUGGAACAAGAGCAUCACCAUCAAAAACGGUGUCACUGACUCCAUUCCCCACCAUAUAGCCCUGUGUAGAAUUGUACAAAUCAAACCAAGAAUUUAUAAGCCCCCACAAGUGGUUCCUGUACACCACCUUGCAACCUAAUUUUUGGUAAAAGAAAGCACCUCAUAAACAUACAUAUAGAUACAUAUAUAUACAUAUAUAUAUAUAUAUAUAUAUAUAUAUAUACUAGUAUAGUAACCCCUGCGAUGCGACGGGUAGAUAAUUAGAGGAAAAAAUAAAAAAUGACGACAAAGGAAGAGAANAAAUAUUCAUAAUUAUUUGAUUAAAUCUUUCAAAAUAACAUUAUAAGAAUUUAUUGGAACUAAAAAAACUGAAAUAAAUCCGUACCAAAGUGUGUCAGUAGGAGGUCAUGCAUAUUCAUCGGCACACAAGCGUACCAUGUGUCGGCACGGAAGCAUGCCGGUGCCGUACCGUGCCAAACAGGCAGCAGCACGCCCCCGUGCCACGGCACUUUAAACCUUGGGUUUUAGUUUCAAUGAGGUUUUACCAUAGAGAGGAUUUUGUUUUCUCUCAUAAUAUUCACUAACAGAUGAAACAAAAAAUUGUCUACUUACUUCGACCUCAAAAGAAUAAGAAAUAGAGUACGAACAGAAAUAAGGAUCAUUCUAGUACAAACCGUGCAGGGAACUGAGCUACUUCCAAGUUCUGGCCAUGUUGGAACGCGUCCAUCUCUUACUGGAGCUCUGAGUGGCCAAGCACGCCCAAACAUUCUUUUCCUAACAGGUAAAGGCCUAUCAGUUUCACCAAGUUUUCUGAAACUUGAAGGCAACCUACUGUCCUCAGACAAAACUUCUCUGACUUCUGGACUAUGGAAGCAGGGCUCGAGGAUAUCAUAGAUAUUUAGAUUAUCGAGUUC